rnacentral:sRNA from 1 species
UGAUGAAAUGGUAAUGCUGGUAAAACU